AUGGGAGGUGGCCACACUAUGUCCCCUGUAGCUGUGAAGUAUGAAGGAGAUGGCCAAGGUACGCUUCUACCAAAGCUGGUAGAGGGAGGUGUUCUUGCAGGGUACAGGAUCAACUCAGCAAAUCUCAUGCCCUUGCUCACACUAGCAGACCACAUACCUAGAGAAGAAACUUACCUUGCAGACCACAGAAGUUUUUAUCCUCCUCCAGGGUCUCAGAGAUCCUCAAUCUUCUGGCCACAUUUCAGUUCUCAAAGGACAAACUAUUACAACACUGUGCUGCGAGGUCUACCUGAAAAAAGAAUAAUUUUCCUCAAUUCUCACUAUUUGAGAUGUAGAAGUCUGUUCUGUUUACUGUCACUGAAUGUCACACGGAGAACAACUGAACACUGAGCAAUUUGGAAAAGAGUAAUUUCUUUCUUAGGUGAAAAGGUGACUUGAAAAACCUGCUUGCUAUCAGCACAACCGCUCACCAGCUCCCUGGAAGGCUCCUUGCUCCGACAGUACACUGCGUUGUGCCAAGGAAGGAAUAAGCCAAAUGCUUCAGACUACCACACUUCACACUCUUGGGCACCACGGGAGAGUGGGAGAGAGUGUGGCACUUUGCUUCUCAGAUUCACGCUGAUGCAAAACUCUGAAGUUUUUAGCCAGUAGUACUCCAGUACUCCCCUCAAGCUCACCAGACUGUUGCAGCUCCUUAAGCAGCAACAGAAUGUAGUAUCACACUGCUUGACAUUGUUGCCCUACCAGAAUCAGCUCUCUUACAGCUGCCUUAGCCCCUUUCCUUCUCGCUUUACUCAUUUUAAAGCUAUCAACUGUAUCUCACUUCUCUCUUUCUCUUCAGAACAACAGGCACAUGGCCUUUCUGCCCUUACUUCAUGUGCUGCAGUGAAGACCCAAUUAAAAGUCUAAUUUUAAUGUUGUUUUAACCAUCACUGCACUUGUGAGACAAUGGCAAGAGACUGUAACAAGGAUGGACAAAAGACACACAAACUCAUAAGAAAAACUAAUGAUGAAUCAUUGUUUGAAGGGUGAGUCAUGCUUGAGUG
rnacentral:lncRNA from 1 species